UACGGAGGGUGCAAGCGUUGUCCGGAAUCACUGGGCGUAAAGGGCGCGUAGGCGGCUCUGCACGUUCGUUGUGAAAUCGCCCGGCUCAACUGGGCGGGGUCAGCGGAUACGGCAGAGCUUGAGCAAGCUAGGGGGCAAUGGAAUUCCCGGUGUAGUGGUGAAAUGCGUAGAUAUCGGGAGGAACACCAGUGGCGAAGGCGACUACCUGGCCUGUUCUUGACGCUGAGGCGCGAAAGCUAGGGGAGCAAACGG
rnacentral:rRNA from 1 species